GAUUAACGCUGGCGGCGUGCCUAACACAUGCAAGUCGAACGAGGUAGCAAUACCUAGUGGCAGACGGGUGAGUAACGCGUGGUCAACCUACCGUUGAGUGGGGGAGUAACUAGCCGAAGGUUAGCUAAUACGCAUACGAGACUCGGGGGCGAUCCCUCGGGUCGUUAAAAGGAAGCAAUCCGCUCGAUGACGGGACCGCGUCCCA
rnacentral:rRNA from 1 species